rnacentral:rRNA from 1 species
AUGUCUUAUAGAUUAAAAUUAUAAGUCGAUUCUGCCCACUGAAUGUAAUUUAAAUGGCUGCAGUAUUUUGACUGUACAAAGGUAGCAAAAUAAAUUGUUUUUUAAUUGAAAACUGGAAUGAAGGAGUUAAUGAAAUAAAAAUUGUUUCAAAUUUAGUGAUUGAAUUUAAAAUUUAAGUUAAAAUUCUUAAAUUUUUUUAUUAGACAAGAAGACCCUAUAGAAUUUAAUAAUAUUAUUAAUUAAUUUAAUAUUGUAAUUUUAAUUUAAUUAAUAUUAUAUUUUGUUGGGAGGAUAGUAAAAUUAGAUAAACUUUUAUUUAUAUAAAAACAUUGAUUUAUGAAUAAUUGAUUAUUAUUAUAAUUAUAAGAAAAAAUUACCUUAGGGAUAACAGCGUAAUAUUUUUGGAGAGUUCUUAUUGAAAAAAAUGAUUGCGACCUCGAUGUUGAAUUAUGGUAAAAUUUUGGUGUAGAAUUUAAAAUUGUUAGUCUGUUCGACUAUUAAAAUCAUACAUGAUCU